CAUACAAGCACACCCACAUAGAGUAGAUGCUCAAUAUUGGAGAUAUUGUUCAAACAAGUGAUAUGUUUUCAUCUAAAAUUCUGUUAAAUUCAUGUGGAGCAAAGCAGAAGUUACACUCCAUAAAAAAUUGGACUUGAUAAAAACGAUCUGUAGGGGGGUCCUGGCCUCGCGCAGCAGGACAGUAAUGCAAUAAGCUGCAUCUUUAAUGCAAUAAGACUCAGGCUGCAGAUAUUGCCUCUCUCAGCCCAGACUGUUAUUUAAGAGCCAGCAAAAAGUAUUUACAUGACUCAAGUUGACCCUUGUGCUAGAGGGGACCGGAAGAACAAACAAACAAGAGAGAAGCAGCGGGGCUUGGGAGGAAGGGAGAAGCCUAUCUUUUCUAGGUGAAUAAACAUUCGCUGACCAUUUGAGAGAGACAAUUCCUGGUCUAUGAGGCGUAGCAUACUGGGACACAUCUACAAUAAGUAAAUAAUUAAAGGACGGAGGACCAGCGGACCAGAGGGCCUAAUGGAGCCAGAGGUUUGUCUGGGGACUUUUGUGAGGCAGUCACCGGUGAUAUCGACUGACAACUAGCCAUCUAUUUGAGGAUAAUAAGGCCCACUUAUGCCAGAGCAGAUAAUGUAGAUGUCGACAACAAGCAGAAGUAGUCAUCUGACAACUGGAGAAGCAGGCUGAGUGUGAUGCUUUAUAAUAACUUGCUUUUAUCUUUAGCAGUACAGCAUGUAGUGUCAGCAACAGACAAAAAAAUAAUAAUCUUGCUUGUCUGUAGGUUCAAAGUACUUGAGGUGAAUUUGACUGAGAAUGUAACAAACUGACACAUGAAUUGUGUGAUUAGAUAAAACAGGAAGACUUAUCUAAAUGUAUCUAAUUCUGAUGCAAUUAGGUUUUACUAGGUCUGACAGUUGUUGACAGUUUAAGGCCAUUGAGUGAUGAGAAUCUGGGGCACAGAACCCAUCCAUAUAAGUAGUUCAUUAAUGUAACAGACUUUCUUUAAGUUACAGGGAUGUCAGUAGUAAAGGUGUACAAAAGAAUAUAGUCUAGGAUACCACUUUUUCCUAUGAAUGUACAACUUAAAAUGACCAAGGCAUUACAAACUAAGAAGAUUGAUGACUGCAGAGUUUGUGGGCUGUGAGAGUCUGUAUGUGUGUGCUGGCAUGCCAUGGGACACAACUUUGUCCAGAGUAAGGUGCCUGUUCCCUGUGCUGCCAGCAAG